UACGGAGGGGACUAGCGUUGUUCGGAAUUACUGGGCGUAAAGCGCACGUAAGGCGGAUUUGUUAGUCAGGGGUGAAAUCCCGAGGCUCAACCUCGGAACUGCCUUUGAUACUGCAAAUCUCGAGUCCGGAAGAGGUGAGUGGAAUUCCUAGUGUAGAGGUGAAAUUCGUAGAUAUUAGGAAGAACACCAGUGGCGAAGGCGGCUCACUGGUCCGGUACUGACGCUGAGGUGCGAAAGCGUGGGGAGCAAACAGG
rnacentral:rRNA from 1 species